CCUGGAAGUGUAUCCAGUAAACAGCGAAGCAAACGACGCCUCGCAGCGUAAAGUCGUCCUGUUUUUUUCUCCACUCCGCCGCUCAGACUGCUGCGAACAUGUCUAAAAUCGAGAUGCUGAGGCUGCUCAUCAAUCAGCGGCUCACCGAGGCCGCGGAGGAGAUCUUCGGGGUGUUUGGGAGAACCAUAGCCGAGUACGAGGAAGAGAUCUCCCGCUCAAAGCUGGAGAUCGACCGGCAGCGGCGGCUGCUGGAGCUCUCCAGGAAGCCACAGGUCUCUCUGCAGGCCAACAGCACAGCAGCUGUCUGUGAGCAGCAGGACUGGAGUGCCAGUCUUGACCUGAAUGAGAUGAAACCUGCUUCCAUCAAAGAGGAGGAGGAGCUGUGGCCGGAAGAGACGUCUCAGACGGCCGAUCAGAACGAUGUCAAGUUCGUGUUGUUCCAGAGUGGCGGUGUAAGAAAUAAGCAGGGCGAUGACCACAUGACCUCCUCACUCUCAAAGCUCCAGGACCUGGGCGACUCAGAGCUGGACCCCCAGCCGGGCACCUCGGUCCAGCCGACCAGUUCAGACCUGGAUGACGAUGCCCCCGAAGCUGCAGAUCCGGCUUCAGAGUCUUCGUGAAAAAUUGCGGCUUUGCUGUGACAGCCAAGCAUGCCAUGAAAAAAUGGAACAACCUGAAGGAGUUUAGGGAUCCUCCGACAGGGAAAGGGGUGGAGGCGGGUGGGGUGACUGCUGCACUCCGGGGGCAGCACUCCAUAAGCCCGCCCCUGGUAGUGGCAUCUAAUUUGACCACCACUACAGGUGGUGUUGUCACCUCCCCUUCUCUGCCCCUCCCAAAGAACGGGCCAACCUGCCACCAAGAAAGAGGUCCAGGGUCAACCAGGAGCUCCUGGAGUUCCUGAAGGAGCAGGUAGAGAGAGAAGAGGCGAGGGAGAGAUCAGCCACUGAAAGGGCUGAAAGAUACUUGUCUCUCUUUGAGAAAUUUGUAGAUAAAUUAUAAAAAAUGUAUAGUUGAUUAAAUUUAAUAUAACAGUUCCUAAUUAUUGUUUGUUCCAAAUUAUUGUUUGAUGUAUUUGUUUUUGAAUAAAUAUUUGAAAUACGGAGUUUCAGUCUGUAUGGUAGAUGAACAGUUAUACAUAAAGUGGUAACAUGCAGGCAUGUGUUAUUUAGACUUCACUUUCCCAGCAUGUAACAGAGCCAACACACAAUAAGGGACAUAGUUUAGAUCUAAUUAUCUCCAAAGGGCUCAACAUUUCUGAGGUUGUGGUGACUGAUGUUGCCUUUUCUGAUCAUUACUGUGUUUUCUUUAAAAUGGCCAUCUCCGCUGACACCAGUAAAAUUACAACAGAGGUAAUCAGAAAACGCUAUAUCAAUGAAAACACCUGUACACUAUUCACCCAGGAUUUUAUACCCACACCAGCUCUGCCCUCAGUUUCUGUCAAUGAUCUGGUUCAUAGUUUCAGCUCUAAAGCUAUGAAUAUCAUGGAUAAUAUUGCCCCCGUGAAGGUCAAAGUUGUCUCCGGUAAGAAAAAAACCACCAUGGAGGAACGCCACACGGGUAAAAGCUCAAAAAAGAGAAUGUAGAAAAGCAGAACGCAGGUGGCGAAAAACCAAACUCCAGGUUCAUUAUGACAUCUAUAAGGAAAGUCUGCACAUCUAUAACUUGGAGCUAAAAAGGGCACGGCAGUCCUUUUUCUCUGAGAUUAUCAACAAAAAUAACAACAAUGCACAGACUUCAUUUACUGUUGUUGACAGACUGACAAACCCAUCAGCGUCAGUCCCUCCUGAACUGCUAUCCACCAAGGCAUGCAAUGACUUUGCUUCUUUUUUCACAGACAAGAUUUUAAAGAUAAGACAGACAGUCUGUAACUCCAACACAGUGGCUAUUUCACCUGUGCCUCAUAAGACUACUCCAGUUAAUUUGGCACUUUUUCACCUAUUAAAUUAUGCUACUUUGACAGACAUAGUUAGAAACCUUAGGUCCACUACCUGCUGCCUUGACACUCUGCCUACAAGCUUUUUUAAAGAUGUUUUUUAACUGCAUAGCAUCAGAUAUACUACAGAUAGUAAACUGUUCUCUUCAGUCAGGCCUUUUUCCAAUGGCCCUGAAAACUGCAGUCAUUAAACCUCUCUUAAAAAAGCCUAAUCUGGAUGCCUCAGUAAUAAAUAACUACAGGCCCAUAUCAAACCUACCAUUUUUAGGAAAGAU